GACGAACGCUGGCGGCGUGCUUAACACAUGCAAGUCGAGCGGAAAGGCUCCUUCGGGGGUACUCGAGCGGCGAACGGGUGAGUAACACGUGAGUAAUCUGCCCUGCGCUCUGGGAUAGCCACCGGAAACGGUGAUUAAUACCGGAUAUGAUCGCUACACGCAUGUGUUGGUGGCGGAAAGGUUUUCGGCGCAGGCUGUGCGCGCGGACUAUCAGCUUGUUGGUGAGGUAAUGGCUCACCAAGGCUUUGAAGGGUAGCCGGCCUGAGAGGGUGACCGGUCACACUGGGACUGAGACACGGCCCAGACUCCUACGGGAGGCAGCAGUGGGGAAUAUUGGACGAUGGGCGGAAGCCUGAUCCAGCAACGCCGCGUGAGGGAUGACGGCCUUCGGGUUGUAAACCUCUUUCAGUACCGACGAAGCGAAAGUGACGGUAGGUACAGAAGAAGGACCGGCCAACUACGUGCCAGCAGCCGCGGUAACAC
rnacentral:rRNA from 1 species